ACGUCAAGUCCUCAUGGCCCUUACGGGCUGGGCUACACACGUGCUACAAUGGCGGUGACAAUGGGACGCGAAGGUGCGAGCCGGAGCCAAUCCCCAAAAGCCGCCUCAGUUCGGAUUGCACGCUGCAACUCGCGUGCAUGAAGUCGGAAUCGCUAGUAAUCGCGGAUCAGCAUGCCGCGGUGAAUACGUUCCCGGGCCUU
rnacentral:rRNA from 1 species